GGACGAACGCUGGCGGCGUGCUUAACACAUGCAAGUGGAGCGACGAACCAGGCUUCGGCCUGGGGCAGAGCCGCGAACGGGUGAGUAACACGUGGGUAACCUGCCCUGAUGGAUUGGGACAACCCGAGGAAACUCGGGGCUAAGUACCAAAUGUGCCCUCCGGCCGUAAGGCCUCUGGGGAAAGGAAGCUUCGGCCUCGCAUCGGGAUGGGCCCGCGGCCCAUUACGCUUGUUGGUGAGGUAACGGCNCACCAAGGCUACGAUGGUAGCUGGUCUGAGAGGACGAUCAGCCACACUGGGACUGAGACACGGCCCAGACUCC
rnacentral:rRNA from 1 species